UUAAAAUUGUUGCAGUUAAAACGCUCGUAGUUGAAUUUCAAAGACUCGACAUUUUAAGCAACGCUUUUAGCCAAAUCCAUAUGACCGAUACGUAAGUGUCGACUUUGUGCGCAUUUUGCUACUAUGCGUUCUUUUAAUUAAAAUGAUUCUUUUUAAGGGCUUUCAUCACUUUUGUGUUGAUUCCCUUGUUACUUUGAGUAAAUUAGAGUGUUCAAAGCAAACAGAUAUAGCAUUGCGCGUUUGAAUACUACAGCAUGGAAUAACAAAAUUGAACAAGUCAGAAUUUUGUUCUUUUUUCUUAUUUUGGCUUAGUUACGAUUAAUAGGAGUAGCUUGGGGGCAUUUGUGUUCAGAUGUCAGAGGUGAAAUUCUUAGAUUUUCUGGAGACAAACAACUGCGAAAGCAUUUGCCUAAAAUACUUCCAUUAAUCAAGAACGAAAGUUAAGGGAGUGAAGACGAUCAGAUACCGUCGUAAUCUUAACCAUAAACUAUGCCGACUAGGCUUUGGAUGAAAGAUUUUAAAAUAAGAGUUUUCUCUUCGGAGUUAACUCUUAGAUUGCUUCCUUCAGUGCCUUAUGAGAAAUCAAAGUCUUUGGGUUCUGGGGCGAGUAUUCGCGCAAGCGAGAAAGUUAAAAGAAUUGACGGAAGGGCACCACCAGGCGUGGAGCUUGCGGCUUAAUUUGACUCAACACGGGAAAACUCACUAGUUUAAGACAAGAGUAGGAUUGACAGAUUAAUAGCUCUUUCUUGAUUUCUUGGAUGGUGAUGCAUGGCCGUUUUUAGUUCGUGAAUAUGAUUUGUCUGGUUAAUUCCGAUAACGAACGAGAUCUUUAACCUGCUAAUUAGCGGCAAAUACGAUAUAUUCUUACGUGGGAUUGAAUACGGUUUGAUUUGCUUACUUUGAAGAAAAUAUUGGGAUGCGAAAGUGUCCCUUUCCCUUUUCUACUUAGUUCGCUUUUCAUACUGUUUCUUUUUUGCGUAAGAAUGUAUUUGCUUGAUUGUAAAGCUUCUUAGAGGAACGAUGUGUGUCUAACACAAGGAAGUUUAAGGCAACAACAGG
rnacentral:rRNA from 1 species